GGGGAUGUUUUGGUUUUGACAGCAAUCGAUUUCUUCAGGUAAGCACGUCGAGAGUCGUGGCCCCUCUCGUAAAUCUCAGACCUCACGCCAUAACUGGCACAAACAACUAUGCUCUCGCUGCGUAAUUAGGCCAAGCCUAAUACCUUAAUCUCCCCGUCAAGGACGGGCAGACGAGCGUUCCGCCGGAUUUUUGUGGAAGUUCGGUCCGGGAUUCGGAACGAGGCAGAACAAUUCCUGCUCGCACCUACUACUUCUGUCGGUGCGCUAAGAUUCAGAGGCUAAGGGAGCGUUAGCCCGCCGCCCGGCGGAUUCUCCCCGACAAUCAAAGGGUGGAUAAGCGUGUAGAAAGCUUGCGGGGACGUUGUUUGGACGGCGGUUCGAGUCCGCCCAUCUCCACAA
rnacentral:tmRNA from 1 species